UAUGUCUUUCUCAGACUUUUUAUUCUGUACAUAUUUUAUUACUAGAACAGAAGUCUGAGCAUGUUGUUGUAUUUUUUGCAGGACCUGGGCAUGUGUUCCCAGAAACCUGGUAAUUGAGGCAACAUGGAUUUUGGAAUGCAGAACAUCAGAACUACCAAACAUGCCCUGGAACAGAGAAUCACUACGAUACUCACCUUGUGCCACAUUGCAACUGAAUUUUGAAGCUGCCAAGGGCCAGGACAGUCCUGUGAAAUUCACUGACAGCUGGAUGGACUUGGGAGGGAGAACACAUCUGAUGGGGUUUUGGAAGCUCAGCCGCAGUGGAAAGUAACCGGAAUGCAGCCAUUGUCUGGCAGUGUCACUGGCACCAAGAGAUUUAUUGGAGGAGGUACAGAGGGAGCCAUAUACAUCAGCUGAUGGCAGGUGGGGAUGGCAGCCUGGGUCUCCCAGGAUGAUGGAAUCACAUCUCACUCCUGCAGUAUGGAUGUACGGAUUUACUUCACCUGCUGGCAGGCAGGGACUGUCUCUAUGGGAUCAUGGGAUCACUCCUGCAAUACAAAUAUACUGCAAAGCAGGAUUUUUUUGGGUAAAAACUUAUACACAUGGGAGGGCUUCAUGUGCCUGGUUACUUCUUUUGAUUGCUUUGAAUUCAUGAGAGUUCAGUUAUGUAAAUCUGGUGCAGGCUGGGUAAAAUUUAAUGGAUUGUCUCAUUUUGCACCAACUCACAAAGUAGCUGGUAGUAGGCAGCCAGACAAUUGCUCUACCUGACGUCUCUGUUUUCCCAUUUACCAAACUUCCUUUUUCAUGAUUCAGGUAUCUGUGGUCUUUUCCUCCUCACCUGGGAUUUGGACUGGUUUAUCAAGUUUUGAUUUCCUGUCUUCUGGUAAUAUUUAGCUCAUGCCAUUUCUCUGAGAAAUUAUUAUUGCAACUGCUGAACGCCAUUUGUGGUCAAAACACCAUAGUAACAUUAUUCAUAUACAUUAUCUCUGGUAUCAUUGGCAUGCAGAAAAUACAUAAAUACACUUUCCAGGCUUCACAGUCUUGAAAAAUAAUUGAUGCUUUGCAUAAUUAUCUGAUAGAUACUUACAGAUAGAUGGCUUCAUAUUCUUUUAUGCCCUCUAAUUUCUGUACAAUGUUCAUGAUCACUUGGAUUUAGUGCAUACUGAAGCCCUGAUUCCCGGGAAGUGGCUGGACACUGCCUGCUGAUGGGAAGUAGAGAAUAAAUAUUUUGUUUUCAUUUGCUUCCACACGACCUUUGCUUUUG